rnacentral:rRNA from 1 species
AGGAGAAGUCGUAACAAGGUUUCCGUAGGUGAACCUGCGGAAGGAUCAUUGUCGAACCCUGCAAGGCAGAACGACCCGUGAACACGUAAAUACAACCGGGUGAUGGGGAGAUGGAUCUUGGUUUUGAUCCUCAGCACCUUCCAGCGUGCCUGCAUGAUUUCUCUUUUGGGCUAUCAUGCUUGUAUUGUUGGACUUUAACCAAACCCCGGCACGGUAUGUGCCAAGGAAAACAAUAAACGAGAAGGACUCGACCUGUUAUGCCCCGUUUGUGGUGUGCAUUCUGAGCGUGUCCUCCUUUGAUUCACAAACGACUCUCGGCAACGGAUAUCUCGGCUCACGCAUCGAUGAAGAACGUAGCAAAAUGCGAUACUUGGUGUGAAUUGCAGAAUCCCGUGAACCAUCGAGUUUUUGAACGCAAGUUGCGCCCGAAGCCAUCCGGUUGAGGGCACGCCUGCCUGGGCGUCACGCAUCGCGUCGCUCCCGUCAUAGUUCCCUUAAGGGUAGUCGUGGUGAUUGGGAGCGGAAAUUGACCUCCCGUGCUUGUUGUGCGGUUGGUCAAAAUACGAGUCCCCUUCGGUGGACACACGGCUAGUGGUGGUUGUAAAGACCCUUUUCUUCUGCUGUGUGUCGUGAGCUGCUAGGGAAGCCCUCAAAAAAGACCCCAUUGUAUCGUCUUAGGAUGAUGCUUCGACCGCGACCCCAGGUCAGGCGGGA